rnacentral:lncRNA from 13 species
UCCAGGUGAGUGCACACAAGGUUGCAGACAUCCAGCUUCCCGGCAGGCAUGUCCAGUCUCAGACACUGCAUCCUCACCGGGGCGCCAUGUGUCACUCUCAAAGCAGUGUCCACCCCAAUCUCCUUACUUUUAAGUGCCACCCUGGACCCGAACAGCCCUCACCCAAUCUGUACGUCUGACCAUGCACAACUCGGAUAAGAGUUAAGCAGCUGUGGCAAGGGGCUGCUCUUGCCUGUCUUCUGAGGGACACUGGCUGUUCUAUGAUGCAGACGGGCACUGCACCAGAGGCCAGCAGAGUGCUGCAGAGGGCCGGCCCUUGCCCCGCCUGUUACAGAUGCCAGAUGUGUCUUCUCACUGGCUGCCACUUCUCUCCUCUCUCUGCUCAUGGCCUCCUUUCCAUCCCGGAAGUGGGUCCGUUUUUUUCCUUACUGCCUCUUGUUUUGGUGUGAGGCUUAGGACAGCCUUUCCCACUUUCCCAUGAACACAGUCUCCUGGGCAGUUUUGUCGUCCUUUCACACCUUUCUAUUCAGAGAUUUGUCUCAUGGAUCUGCCUGGAAUCUACUCUUGUGCAAGCAGGCAGCCGAAGUGAUCCCCUCACCUCGUGAAGGAGGCUGCCAGGGAGGAAUUUACAAUGCCAACAUUGCCUGCAGCCUGCACAACCAAGAAGUUACUCAAAGCUCUGUGGGAGCCCCUGCCUGGCCAAUAAGAGCGUGGUCCUGGAUUGAGCGCUGGAACUUUCACCCAAUGAGGCGGUGAUUGGCUAAGGCUGGAUCUUCAGUGACACCCUCUGCAGAUUCUUUGACAUCUGCAAACCAAGCGCGUUUUGAGUGGAAUCGGUCCCAUUGUGUUCGAGAGGGCCCUUUAUGGGGCAGGGGUUUCCAGGAGAAUCUCUCUGUUUCCAUUUCUGAUAAAGAGGGACAUGAAUGAGAAGAGCAUCUGGGCACCGACUAACUCCCCCGCCAAGACUGGCUUUUCAGACAAACCCAUCAGUGGUUUCAAAACCUGAACCUUAGCACAUCCACUUUCCUCUGAUAUCAAAGGAAACUUCAAGUCUGAAACGGACUUGGCAAGCAUGUUAUUAAUAACUGUCAUGCUUAUUAACAAAUUUAAUCCAGCCUGCUGCAGAAAUGAGUUGCAGCAACGUGACACAGUCUCCCGACACACUUCAUUGAUGUACAUCUUAAUCUGGCCCUGACUUUCAAUACUCGCAUUUAAUUUAUCUGGGGCACACAAAGCCUCUCUAACCGCGGGGUCUGGAGUGGGGAUCGUGUGUCUGACCAUUGAGAGGCUGGCCAAAUGGCUGUUGAUAUUCUGGCUAAAUGGAAAUGCCUCCUCCUCGAUCUCGGCAAACAGCAGUUUUCCCUGAAUGAAAAGGCACUUGGAGAGGUCAAGAACACAACUGCCAUUUUUACAGUUUUGAGCACUCCAAGUAUUUUUAUGUUCAUAGGGGAAGGGUCGCUGUUUUAUUGGGUGUGCUCGGUUGGCCUUGCCUCCCCCUGAGGGCCUGUCCUCAGUGCCACCUGGGGCCCCAGGUUCAGUCCAAUCCCCAUCCUCACUCCAGGGCCGAGCCAUAGUUUCAAAAUCAAACCAAACAUCAGGCUCUUCCUCAUCCAGCUCCUGGUCAUCGUCCCACUCCUCUUCCUCCUCCUCCUCCAGCUUGUCACUGUCAUCUCUUCCUAUGGUCAGUUUGUAAACACAGUAGCAGGCACCAGCCCCAAUCAUCAGUCCUGCCGCCAUCCAACCCACUUCCCGAGCC